CACGUAGGGGACGAGCGUUGUCCGGAAUCAUUGGGCGUAAAGCGCGCGUAGGCGGCCCGGAAAGUCGGAUGUGAAAGCUCAAGGCUCAACCUUGAGAGGCCAUUCGAUACGGGAUAGCUAGAGGUAGGUAGGGGAGAUCGGAAUUCCUGGUGUAGCGGUGAAAUGCGCAGAUAUCAGGAGGAACACCGAUGGCGAAGGCAGAUCUCUGGGCCUUACCUGACGCUGAGGAGCGAAAGCUGGGGGAGCGAACAGG
rnacentral:rRNA from 1 species